rnacentral:rRNA from 1 species
AGAGUUUGAUCCUGGCUCAGAUUGAACGCUGGCGGCAUGCUUUACACAUGCAAGUCGAGCGGCAGCGCGGGGGCAACCCUGGCGGCGAGCGGCGAACGGGUGAGUAAUGCAUCGGAACGUAUCCUCUUGUGGGGGAUAACCCACCGAAAGGUGGGCUAAUACCGCAUAAGCUCUGAGGAGGAAAGCGGGGGACCGAAAGGCCUCGCGCAGGAGGAGCGGCCGAUGUCCGAUUAGCUAGUUGGUGAGGUAAAGGCUCACCAAGGCGACGAUCGGUAGCUGGUCUGAGAGGAUGAUCAGCCACACUGGGACUGAGACACGGCCCAGACUCCUACGGGAGGCAGCAGUGGGGAAUUUUGGACAAUGGGGGCAACCCUGAUCCAGCCAUGCCGCGUGAGUGAAGAAGGCCUUCGGGUUGUAAAGCUCUUUCGGACGGAACGAAAUUGCCUGGACCAAUACUCUGGGUAGAUGACGGUACCGUAAGAAGAAGCACCGGCUAACUACGUGCCAGCAGCCGCGGUAAUACGUAGGGUGCAAGCGUUAAUCGGAAUUACUGGGCGUAAAGCGUGCGCAGGCGGUUGCCUAAGCCAGGCGUGAAAUCCCCGGG